rnacentral:tRNA from 1 species
GGUGGCAUAGUGGUUAAGCACUCAGCUGCUAACUAAAAUGUUGGUGGUUCAAAUCCACCAGCCACUU